rnacentral:lncRNA from 9 species
GUAUAAAUAACCUCAGUACAGCACAGAUGGAUUUUGGGAGCUCUCAGCCUGCGGCAAUCUUGGAGAACCUCUGCAGGAGGAUCAGGAAGGAAAAACUGGCCAUAUGAAACCUAGAGCCACACGGUAGUUUGGACCAUUGUCCAGGAGACCACUGACUCAAACUCUCUUCUCACACUGAGCAGGACUGCCAGGUAGGGCCACUGAGGCUGCCUGAUGCCUCUAUUGGAAUGAACUCCAUCAGGAACAGUACCUACUGGCUUUGUGCAUUAUGACAGCCAGAUAGAUCAACUGCCCUUUUGAACUGAAACAGGAUUUGAGGAUCAUGAGCUUUCUGCUGCUUUCA